AGUAACGCGUGGGCAACCUGCCUCAUACAGGGGGAUAACAGUUAGAAAUGACUGCUAAUACCGCAUAAGCGCACAGGACCGCAUGGUGUAGUGUGAAAAACUCCGGUGGUAUGAGAUGGACCCGCGUCUGAUUAGGUAGUUGGUGGGGUAAAGGCCUACCAAGCCGACGAUCAGUAGCCGACCUGAGAGGGUGACCGGCCACAUUGGGACUGAGACACGGCCCAG
rnacentral:rRNA from 1 species